rnacentral:tRNA from 1 species
UCCCUGAUAACUCAGUUGGUAAAGAAUCUGCCUGCAAUGCAGGAGACCUUGGUUCAAUUCCUGGUCAGGAAG